AGCUCAGAAUCCAUUUCUUGCCUUUUACCAGAGAUGGCCGUGGCUCUGUCCAAAAUACUCCAAUACUCGAAUCUUUGGACACUUUCCUAUUCGACAAUAGUUGGUCGAUAAUUUUAUGCUCUUUUUGACUUCAUUUCCUCUAUGCGAAAUAAACUGUGUUUUGAAUGAAGGGAGAUGCUACCGGCUCUGGGUCCUUCAUCCCUUGGUGAAAUGACAAUAAUGAUCCUCUGGGCCGGUGCGUGGAUUUUGGCCUGGGUCCGUGUGUAUAAUUAUUGCAAGCUCGAUCUUAUCUAAUCCCACCCCGCAGCUUCCCCACCAUCAAUAACUGCG
rnacentral:sRNA from 2 species